UACGUAGGGGGCCUAGCGCUUGUCCGGAAUCAUUGGGCGUAAGCGCGUGUAGGCGGUCCGGUAAGUCCGCUGUGAAAGUCGGGGGCUCAACCCUCGGAUGCCGGUGGAUACUGUCGGGCUUGAGUACGGAAGAGGCGAGUGGAAUUCCUGGUGUAGCGGUGAAUGCGCAGAUAUCUGGAGGAAUACCGGUGGCGAAGGCGGCGAGUCCUCGGAGCCGGCAU
rnacentral:rRNA from 1 species